GAGAGUUAGAGUUUGUCAAUGCAACCAUGUCCAUUCCUCUUAUAAUUAUAUCACUGUGACAGGGUUUUGAAUUGCUCUCUUGAAUCCAUUUAGAGCACAGCUCUGCCAUGGGCAGCACUGGUUAUGCAGCAAGGCUUUGCUUCAUUUUAGCAUUAUGUAAGUUUUCCUUUUUAUUUUUUUUCCCCCAGGAUUUUACCGCUCUGAAGGUUAAAAAGAGGGAAGCAGCUGUUCCCACGCCUCAGCAGCACAAACACCUCGAGCCUUCAAACGCUCCUGAGAGGAAUCAGUGGGACAGCAGCGAGCGAGGGAGCGCUUGGGCCGCUGCCAAAAGCAGCGAGCCUCGAACGGAGCCGCCUCUUAUCUGGGCAAUCUCAGCGCUGCAGCCGUUUCGCAAGUGACGCACCAGCACGGAGCUCAGCUCUCCCUCGAUGUGAAAAGCACCCAUUGGAGCUGAAGAAGAGAAUAAUCCCAGAGCUGCUGGAGCUGGAUUUGCUGUUCAUUCACUCAUUCAUUCAUGCUCUGCUGGCCCCGUGGCGGCAGCUGCCACCCCACACUCUGAGCGCGUCUCACACUUUCCCUGCAGCUUUCUCGGGUGCUGGGGUGUAACACUUGGAACCUUGGACAACAGCAAAACCAGUCAAUUAUGUUUGCACCCUGCCUGCCUUGAAAGCCCUGGAGUGUGCCUGGUGUGAGCACAGCCAGGGGAAUGCAGGAGCUCAUGAUAAAUUCCAAACAAAAGCACCAUUAUCCAUAUGGGACCUCGUGAGUGCUUCACGUACUCCAGCAAUUCCAAGCACUCCGUGUAUGGUUCUUACUCGGUUUUAAUUCCAUUUCUUUGAGAUGCAAAUCAGAGGGAUUAUAUUCAGAAGCUGCAUCAGAAAGUCUUUAAUCCAAAUGGGCUAUAAGAUUUAUUUAGAAGAGCCAAAUGUCUUGUCUGGGACAGAAGCAACUGAGCUGAACUGAAACAGAUGGACAUAAAGGAAAUUAAGCAACUCUAAUGGUCUUAUCCAGAGUUUGAAAGUAUUUGGUUUUCCUAAAGCUCGAGCUCCUGGAAGCACGUGAUGAGACGGGAAGCUCAGGUUUCACUUAAAAACAGGCUUUGCAGUUCACUGAGAAAAACAAUAACCAUGUUUUUAUUCCUCCUGUGGACAGAACGAGGGCUGCCUUCCAAAUCCUGACUCCUUGGGCUUAUGUCAUCAGAGGAAAAGAUAUUGAAUGGGAGUUUUGGAGUCCUCAUUUUUACAGCAAUGUCAUCAUUUCAGCAGCCUAGAUUUGGGAUUUUGGGAAAUCUGAUGCUGGCAAUAGAGAUCCCAGGUAGUUUGUUUACUAAAAUAGACAAAACCCAUCCCUUGGUUCUGCUGAGGGUUUGUCCCUUGAAAAUUUCUGCUGUUUCUGGUGGUGAUUUUUUAGGUCUCACCUAAGGCUGGGGUUUAACUGGGACACCAGCACUGCCAAGGUCACCUCCAGCAGUGCUGGAUGCAGCAAACCCAGCGUGCACAUCUCGGAUGCUGAUAAACCACUGGGCUGGAAACCUGGAGAGCUCAGGCUGUCCCCCAGGAUCAGGCGUGUCUCCACCUCUGCUGAGGUCAGGAGAUUCUCAGCUGGCAGAAAAAGCCUUCCCUGGAAUGUUUGGCUGUGUUUGGCCCUGGACAGUCUGCACAGACAGCAGGACAGAUAUGAGGACACGCUCCCUGCCAUCCCACCAGGGUAUUUCUGGUGGUAAAGAUGGUUUCUCUUGGGGAGGAAAGUUGAGGUUUGAGUUGCUUCUACCACCUGCAGCUUUCAGGUGCUAAAUAGUGACAAGGCUGAAUUCUUUGGGCUUCCUGAGGCUCUUGACCACUACUGAGUGGUCAAGGAGAUCCCAGACAGUCUCAACCAAAGACAUGCUUUUGCAGCUGAAACUCCUGGUAAAAACUGGGAGAAGUCUUUCUGCUUUCAACCCAAAGCCAUCCCCUGCUUGGCUCUCCCAGGGAAGCAUUCCAAUGCAGGGACAUUUCAAGUGUUUGUGCAUUUGCAAGUGGAUUAAAUAAAAGG
ensembl:lncRNA